GCGGUAGUUCGAGCCAUAUAACACGGACCCCCUCCCUCUCCUCCGGCAGCUUCUUCACUCCGGCGACAAGGUGCUCGACUGAAUUUUCUCUUCUUUUGAUGGCGAAUUCACCAGAUGCGGAUGCGGAUGAUGACUUUAGUGAGCUCUACAAGGAGUACACUGGCCCUCCACGAUCGACCUCUGUCACUGCACAAGAGAAGAUGAGUACAAACAAAAGGUCUCAUGCAGGUUCAGAUGAGGAGGAUGAACCUCGUGAUCCCAAUGCUGUACCAACUGAUUUUACCAGUCGAGAAGCGAAGGUUUGGGAGGCCAAGUCUAAAGCUACAGAGAGGAAUUGGAAGAAGAGAAAAGAGGAAGAAAUGAUCUGCAAAAUAUGUGGAGAAUCAGGCCAUUUUACUCAGGGAUGCCCUUCUACCUUGGGAUCAAAUCGUAAAUCUCAAGAUUUUUUUGAAAGGGUACCAGCCAGGGAUAAACAUGUGAGAGCACUUUUCACUGAUAGAGUAGUACAGAAAAUUGAAAAGGAUAAUGGUUGUAAGAUCAAGAUGGAUGAGAAAUUCAUAAUUGUUAGUGGCAAGGACAGGUUAAUUUUGAAAAAGGGAGUGGAUGCUGUCCACAAGGUAAUAAAGGAGGAAGGCGAUCAAAAGGGUUCUAGUUCUCAUGUGAGUAGAUCCAGGUCACCUGAUCGAAGCCCAGUUGGUUCAAGGUCACAACGCUCUGACGUCCAUGGAUCACAUUCUGGUCCUACAAAUGCAUCACAAUUUCAACCCAGGUAUAGCAGACAGGAGAAGGUUGUUGAAAAUCGUGUUCGUGAUGAUCUGCAGAAAUAUUCAAGGGGCUCGGUUCAAGCACGAGCUUAUGGCAGUGACAGAGUUAGAGGUCGUUCAAGCCACUCCAAGUCUCCGGCUAAUCUGCCUUAUUCUGGCAGCUCGUUUAGUUCAUUUGAUACUUAUCAGAACAAGAGUGCAUAUGGUAGAACCGAAGGAUGGGAUAGUGAAAGAAGAGGAUCUGAUUUGCAAUCUAGUCGUCAGUUCGAGUAUCCAGCUUUUCCCCAGUCUCUUGAAGAAUUAGAGAUGGAAUAUAAAAGAGAAGCAGCUGAACUCGGAAAGAUUCGUGAUAAAGAAGAAGAUGAAGAAAAUUAUAAACACCGUGAGACUAUAAGGGAGAUGAGAGAGAACUACACGAAGAAAUUGGCUCAUUUGAGGGGCACACAUGCAAAACAAUGGGAUGAGUUUCUCCAACUUGAUGCCCAAAGGCGUCAGCAACAAGUGCACCAGCAAAUGGCCGCUUCAGGUUUUGCUGGUUAUAAGCAGCAUAACUAUUCUGAAUACGACGGUGGAUCAGUCAAUUCCCAUUACGAAGGGGCUAAUUUAGCGGCCCUCGAUUCAAGGAGCAAGUAUCAGAAUCAUAUGGAGAAUUAUCCUUCAAGGCCUCAUGGUAAUUUUGGGGAGUUCCAGCGUCAGAGGCGUGAUGAUUACGGGAAUGCUUACAAACGAUACUAAUUUGUUAACCUGGAAGUAAGUUGAUUACUCCAUAGAGUGCGUGCGUGGACUCAAGACCAUGCCCAUUAGAAGGAUUCAGAUCCAUCUUGGGUAGGCAUAAUGAAUGGAGGAACGUCUAAUGAAAGGUAAGUAUGUAUCUUACAAUCUUGAACCGAGUAGAUAAGAAUGGUAUGCAUUCGUGCAGCCUACUUCCAGUUGUUUUUGUCAUUAAGCUUGAUAGUUCGGCUGGUUCGGAACUUGUUGUAAACAGUGGCAUGGAAUGUCAUCUUGGAUUUAUUAGUCAGAUGAAGUUCAUGUGUUCUCAUGAAUGAUUGAGAUUUUGAAUUAGUUUUGAAUAUCACCUUGGCAUACUUUUGUUUCUA